UACGUAGGGCGCAAGCGUUAUCCGGAAUUACUGGGCGUAAAGCGCACGUAGGCGGCUUUGUAAGUAAGAGGUGAAAGCCUGGUGCUCAACACCAGAACUGCCUUUUAGACUGCAUCGCUUGAAUCCAGGAGAGGUGAGUGGAAUUCCGAGUGUAGAGGUGAAAUCGUAGAUAUUCGGAAGAACACCAGUGGCGAAGGCGGCUCACUGGACUGGUAUUGACGCUGAGGUGCGAAAGCGUGGGGAGCAAACAGG
rnacentral:rRNA from 1 species